UGGGGAAUAUUGGGCAAUGGGCGAAAGCCUGACCCAGCCACGCCGCGUGAGUGAUGAAGGCCUUCGGGUCGUAAAGCUCUGUGGGGAGGGACGAACAACCCGGCGGCUAAUAUCCGCCGGACCUGACGGUACCUCCUUAGCAAGCACCGGCUAACCAUGUGCCAGCAGCCGCGGUAAUACAUGGGGUGCAAACGUUGCUCGGAAUUAUUGGGCGUAAAGCGCACGUAGGUGGUCUGUUAUGUCGGACGUGAAAGCCCUCAGCUCAACUGAGGAAGUGCAUCCGAAACUGGCAGGCUAGAGUACGGAAGAGGGUCGCGGAAUUCCCGGUGUAGAGGUGAAAUUCGUAGAUAUCGGGAGGAACACCAGUGGCGAAGGCGGCGACCUGGACCGAUACUGACACUGAGGUGCGAAAGCGUGGGGAGCAAACAG
rnacentral:rRNA from 1 species